CGCCUCUUGCAAAAUCUACAAAUAAGAGGUCCCGCCUGCCCUGUGACUAUAUGUUCAACGGCCGCGGUAUUUUGACCGUGCGAAGGUAGCGCAAUCACUUGUCUUUUAAAUGGAGACCUGUAUGAAUGGCAUAACGAGGGCCUAACUGUCUCCUUUUUCAAGUCAAUGAAAUUGAUCUUCCCGUGCAGAAGCGGGAAUAAUUACAUAAGACGAGAAGACCCUAUGGAGCUUUAGACAAAAGCAGGCCAUGUUAAGCACCCUUAUAUAAAAGACAAAACUCGAUGCUUUCUGCCCUAUGUCUUUGGUUGGGGUGACCGCGGCGAAACAAAUAACCCCCGUGUAGAAAGAGGGCUCUGCCCUUCAAAUCAAGAGCUCCCGCUCAAACUAACAGAACAUCUGACUAAACAAGAUCCGGCAACGCCGAUCAACGGACCGAGUUACCCUAGGGAUAACAGCGCAAUCCCCUUCUAGAGCCCAUAUCGACAAGGGGGUUUACGACCUCGAUGUUGGAUCAGGGCAUCCUAAUGGUGCAGCCGCUAUUAAGGGUUCGUUUGUUCAACGAUUAAAGUCCU
rnacentral:rRNA from 1 species